UUUUCCAUUUGACUCAUGACUAUUGCGUGUAAUUGAACGAAUUGAGUCUCACAGAAGUGUGUCAAUCUGAUCUGAUCUGAAAUGCUGCAUUCCUGCAGUUGUGCUUCAUUUGUGCAGUGGAAUGUCCUGCGCUGGAGAAUCAGACGGCAGCGUUCACGAGAACACAUGAGGGGUGAGAGGAAGGGCACAGGGGUGUACGGCGCGAACGAGGAGAGAGAGAUUAGCACAACAGCUGGGAUUUUGCAGUUCGCUAUCCAACCCUCUGAAUGAGCAGGUGUUU